GGAGGCUGAAGUGGGAGGGAGGAUCACUUGAGCCUGGGAGGCAGAGGCUGCAGUGAGCUAUGAUCGUGCCACUGUACCCCAGCCUGGGUGAGAGAGUCCCUAUCUCAAAAAAAUAAAACCAAAAAACUACUGGGGCCACGUCAGAACUGAAAGAGUUCUGCAGGCCCUUCAGAGAAAGGAGAAGUGAGAGUCAAUUAACCUCAAGAUUACAUUUAAAAGCAUUUUCCUCUUUAGUAUAGAGGUGUGUUAAAAAAAAAAAAAGCAUUUAUACGAGGUAUGUGAGGUAUGUUAGUGAAACAGCAAAAACCUAAUUAUAUCCUAAAUAACUGGCACGCUCUAGGUUACAAAUAGCAAUUUGUAAAAGACCCAUUGAAUGAACACAUUAAACAGCAGGUUGCUUAUUCCUUCUCAAACCGCACUAAAAAAUUCCUCUCUCGCAUGUGUAGGUCCCAGAGCCAGACAGUUAUGAGAUGAUGGUGCCCCCUGGUGGCCAAUGUGGGGAGCCACCCGGCCAGGCGUGCUUCCUGGCUUUGUGCCAGCCAUGCCUUUAUUCUUUGGUUGGUUGGUUGGUUGGUUGGUUAGUUGGUUGGUUGGUUGGCUGGUUGAGACAGAGUCUUGCUCUGUCGCCCAGG
rnacentral:lncRNA from 1 species